CCCCGCAUAGCUCAGCGGAAUGAGCGCUCCGUUCACACCGGAGAGGUUCCCUGGUUCGAUCCCAGGUGCGGGGA
rnacentral:tRNA from 2 species